ACUCCUACGGGAGGCAGCAGGUGGGGAAUAUUGCACGAAUCGGGGGAAGCCCAUGAUGCAGCCAUGCCGCGUGUGUGAAGAAGGCCUUCGGGUUGUAAAGCACUUUUCAGUAGGGAGGAAGGUAGUGUAGUUAACACCUGCAUUAUUUGACGUUACCUACAGAAGAAGCACCGGCUAACUCCGUGCCAGCAGCCGCGGUAAUACGGAGGGUGCGAGCGUUAAUCGGAAUUACUGGGCGUAAAGCGCAUGCAGGCGGCCUGUUAAGUCAGAUGUGAAAGCCCGGGGCUUAACCUCGGAAUUGCAUUUGAAACUGGCAGGCUAGAGUCUUGUAGAGGGGGUG
rnacentral:rRNA from 1 species